GGAGCACGUGCUGAAUGUUUACCAGUUGAUCUGAGUUCAGUGUUGGGAACUUUCUGUGCUUUCUUCCAAGCAGUGCCAGGGUUCAUUAUCUAAAUUCAAGAAGGCAUGACAUAGUCAUGGGGAUCAUCUUGGACCUGAAAGAAAGAAGCCUGAACAUGAAAGGAAGGAGGUCUUUGAGGAAACUGUGCCAACUACCCCAGGGUCAUUUCUGUCAUUUGCCUUCCCUGGAAAGGUUGGAAUUGUACCUGGAAGGAGCACUGGGGAAGCAACAUGAGCUCUGCUUUGUCACCCUUCAAAAAAAUCGCUUACCUGGGUUCAGAACCUUCUGCCCUGCAGUCUGGCAGCCCCCUCAUCCCCAGCCCCCUGCAUGUAGACAUCCACAGCUUUCCUUUUCUUCCUGUCUCCUCUGUCCUCUGACUUCAAGA
rnacentral:lncRNA from 1 species